rnacentral:rRNA from 1 species
AUAUUAUUAAGCGGAGGAAAAGAAACUAACAAGGAUGCCCUCAGUAACGGCGAGUGAAGCGGGCAAAGCUCAACCUGAAAAUCGAAUAUCUAAGCGGGUGUUCGAAUUGUGGGCUAGAGACGCGUGAUCAGUGUGUGACCUAGGUAUAAAUCUUUUUGAAACAAGGUAUCAUAGAGGGUGAGAAUCCCGUCUUUGACCUAGAGUUUUCGCCACGUACGAUCCGUGUUCAAAGAGUCGAGUUGUUUGGGAUUGCAGCUCUAAAUGGGUGGUAAAUUUCAUCUAAAGCUAAAUAUCGACGAGAGACCGAUAGCGAACAAGUACCGUGAGGGAAAGAUGAAAAGAACUUUGAAAAGAGAGUUAAAAAGUACUUGAAAUUGCUAAGAGGGAAGCACUGGAAACCAGUCGUUGACUUGCGUAUAUUUUUACCAUUCGCUCCCGGAUUUCGCUAUCUGUUCAGAGCCCAAAGCCUGACUGGUGGUGAAUGAUGGUGUGAGUGGGUCCUGUAUUGUAAGUCGGAUCAGAAUCAAUUUGAUCUGUGAGAGAAAGCUAUGGCAACGGUAGUUCUGUACGGGGCAACUUGUAUGGAAUGUUUAGUGCUGUAGUGCUAUCAUAGAUUGGAUUGAGGUACAAUCGUUAAUGCGCA